CUGCGCAGUCAACAACCGGAGGUGGAUCACUUGACCUUCCGUGCUCAUCCGCGCGUGCCGACUUUCUCUUUUUUUUCCGUUAUCCCCGAACGAACUCUGUCCCUUUUUCCCCUCCUGAGAUUAAAAUUUUUUUUUUCUCCGUUAGUGACCCUCCUCAUCAUCGCCCACCCUUGUUUCUCCGAGUGAGCAUUCCUUCCCAUUUUCUCGUCUUCAUCUGCAUCACUAUGUCGAACUGGGCAGAUGCCGCGCAGGACGAGGAGCAGUACCAGGCAGCGUACGGCUCCGACGACAACGACAGCUACUCCGAGUACCAGGAGCCGAAGCCGUCAUGGGAUACUGCCAAGACGGAGAUCACCUUCGAGGUGGACGCCGAUGGCAACCGCUUCGAGGUGAUGCGGAAGGUGCGCUCGUACCACGUCGAUCGCCCGGUCACGAUGGCGGACAUUCGCGCGAAGCUCGCGCACUUUGGCAAGGGCAAGGGCGACCAGUCCACUCUCGUCUCGGCGGAGCCGCCGCUGGCGCUUGAGAUGGGCUCAGUCGACCAGUUCGAGCGCGAGAGCCGUGCGGAGGUGAAGCGUAUGAUUCACGAGGCUAGCGGUAUCGACGUCGCUGUCAAGGACGAGCACCUGCGUAUUGUGCGCGAGAUGGAGGAGAAGGCGAAAAAGGAUCCAAGGGUAGUGCGCAGCGGCGCCGGCUCCACCUGGGGCGCGAUUGCGUCCAAGUCUACGGACAACCGCGAACAGUCAACCACCGGCAUCCGUAUUCGCAACUUGUCCGACGACAUCACGCAGGAGAACCUGUCCCGCAUUUUCGAGGGUCGCGGGUGGAUCACGAAGAACGUGCGCAUUCCUCGCGGCGACAACAACCAGACGCGCGGUUUCGCGUUUGUGAUCUUCGAGGAGGCGUGGAUGGCGGAUGCGGCCAUCAAGGAAGGCAAGUUCCACUUCAAAAAUGUGGUGCUGGACGUCUCGCGUGCCGAGACCCGCACGUAAGUUGCCGAGAAUGCUUCUCCCCCCUCCGUUCCUUCCUCAUGCAAGUCGACGCUUUCCCUCUUUUUGGGUAUUCGUCUGGUGUGCGCGUGCGUGCGUAUAAAGGGCUUGUCGCAGUGGGGCAGUAGUGUGUGUUUGUGUGUGCCGCAUCGGGACUUGGUGAGUGCGCCGCUUGUGCGGCACUAAUCGCAGCAGCCUCUGCUGUGCGCUGUCGCCGCGCAUGUGGAAUUCCCUUGCGUGCGGUGCCAGCCUGCGCCUAACUGGUGAUGCGGCGAGGCGCCUGGACAGGAAACAAAUGGCGACGGUGAGCGAUGCCCCUGUGAGACUUGUGACCGCCACUGCGGUCGGCUUCUCUCUCUGUUGUUGUUGGUGUUGGUCGUUGCUGGGAUACUGACGUGUGUUGUGGGUGCGCCGGGGCGCUCGUGUUUUUCCCGACAGGGGCAGCGCGCGCGCUCUCGUGUGUUGGGGUUGCUCGCUUCGUUUUAUUAUCAUUAUUAAAUGUGUGCCUCCCUCCCUAAGACGGAGAAAAAAAGCCAACAAAAACUAACCGAAGAGGACAACACAAGAGACACACGUGGUGCCGAUGGACGCCAACACACAAAUAACAAACGAGCCAAGAGAGACUGCCACACAGAGGCCUUAAGACAGCAAAGGGCGCUGGGCGCAGCGAGUCGUGCGUGUGUGUGUUUGUGGUGGUAGUGGUGGUGGCGGUGGGAAAUGCAGUAUGCUACCACCGACUGUCUCGUGUGGCAGCCGUGAUUCCGCCAAGCGACUCCGGCAGCGACAAGGCUGCGUCGCCUUUCGCUUUCUUGCAGGAUACUGUUUGGACGCGCCAUGAAGAAACGCAGGC
rnacentral:misc_RNA from 1 species